AGGUUCUUAACUAUUUUUCUCUCUGUGUGAGAGACGGGAGAUUGCGAGAGAUUGUCCUUAGCUUUUCCUUUCUCAUUUGAACAUCCCCCACUCAUUAUUAAAUACGUGGAGAAAAUAAUUUUGCUCUGUAGUUGUGUAAUAAAGCUCUUUGUGGCAGCUUGUUCAGCGUGGGCUGGAGAGCAUAAACAAAUGGAGGUCACUUUGCCUUCUGGGGGAUUAUUUUUAAUAUCCAAGAUUUUUCAGUGCCUGCUCAUUUCCCCUGCUUCUUACUUCAGAAGCUUCUCACAACUAAAUCCAUUGAUGGCUUCCACAAAACCUAAAUCCCACAAGAGAAUGCGUAAUUAAGAGACCUUCAGAUCGUCAAUCAAAACACAGAUAUUGUUUAUCUGCACAUGAGAAAUUUGAUUGUCAUUUUUUUCAUCCGUGAACAUGGAGGGUUAAUCUCUAUGGACUCCAAAUUCCAAUACCGUCUGCACGUAUGUUCUUUAAAGGGAAGCUUGGCCAGGCAUGGUGGCUCAUGCCUGUAAUCCCAGCACUUUGGGAGGCUGAGGCUGGCGGAUCACCUGAGGUCGAGAGUUCGAGACCAGCCUGACCAACAUGGAGAAACCCCAUCCCUACUAAAAAUACAAAAUUAGCCAGGAAUGGUGGCGCAUACCUAUAGUCCCAGCUACUCGGGAGGCUGAGGCAGGAAAAUCGCUUGAACCCAGGAGGCGGAGGUUGUGGUGAGCCGAGAUCGUGCCAUUGCACUCCAGCCUGGGCAAGAAGAGUGAAACUCAGUCUCAAAAAAAUAAUAAAUAAGGGAAGCUUGACAUCUUCUAGCUACAGUGUUCUUUUGUUGAUUCCAUCCCUAAGUAAGUAAGAUUCCUUAGAUCUAACUAACGUCAGUCUUAGAUGAACUACUGUUCGUCUCACAGGUGCCUGUGCAGCGUGUGUGUGUGUGUGUGUGUGUGUGUGUGUGUGUGUGAGAGACAGAGAGAGAAUGAUGGAAACACAGGAGCUAGCAUAUUCCUGUCUAAGCUCAGGAAAAGUGUAUAUUUUUGGAUGCCUAUAUCAUUCAGCUGUACCUUCCUCCCUCCCUCAUCUUUGCUGUUAUCUUCUGAUUUCCUGAUCACUACAGCCUGUCCACUGGAGCCUUGGGGAGAUAGUCCU
rnacentral:lncRNA from 10 species